rnacentral:tRNA from 1 species
GCCGGUUUGGCUCAGUGGAUAGAGCGUCAGCCUGUGGACUGAAGGGUGCUGGGUUCGAUGCCAGCCAAGGGCA